CCUGGUCAUACUCAUCAUCAUGCACAUCAUUUUCAUGAGACCUGACUCUCAUACCUGAUCAUCAUCAUCAUCAUCAUGAGUCCUGAUCAUCAUCAUCAUCAUGAGCCCUGAUCAUCAUCAUCAUCAGUCCUGAUCAUCAUCAUCAUCAUGAGUGCUGAUCAUCAUUAUCGAGUCCUGAUCAUCAUAAUCAUCAGGAGUCCUGAUCAUCAUCAUCAUCAUGAGUCCUGAUCAUCGACAUCACCAUCAUCAUCAUGAGUCCUGAUCAUCAUCGAGUCAUCAUCAUCAUCAUCAUUAUCGAGUCCUGAUCAUCAUCGAGUCAUCAUCAUCAUCAUCAUUAUAGAGUCCUGAUCAUCAUCAUCAUCAUGAGUCCUGAUCAUCAUCAUCAUCGAGUCCUGAUCAUCAUCAUCAUCAUCAUCAUGAGUCCUGAUCAUCAUCAUCAUCAUCAUCAUGAGUCCUGAUCAUCAUCAUCAUGAGUCCUGAUCAUCAUCAUGAGUCCUCAUCCUCAU
rnacentral:lncRNA from 1 species